rnacentral:rRNA from 1 species
AACCUUACCAGGUCUUGACAUCCCGAUGCUAUUUCUAGAGAUAGAAGUUACUUCGGUACAUCGGUGACAGGUGGUGCAUGGUUGUCGUCAGCUCGUGUCGUGAGAUGUUGGGUUAAGUCCCGCAACGAGCGCAACCCCUAUUGUUAGUUGCCAUCAUUCAGUUGGGCACUCUAGCGAGACUGCCGGUAAUAAACCGGAGGAAGUGGGGAUGACGUCAAAUCAUCAUGCCCCUUAUGACCUGGGCUACACACGUGCUACAAUGGUUGGUACAACGAGUUGCGAGUCGGUGACGGCGAGCUAAUCUCUUAAAGCCAAUCUCAGUUCGGAUUGUAGGCUGCAACUCGCCUACAUGAAGUCGGAAUCGCUAGUAAUCGCGGAUCAGCACGCCGCGGUGAAUACGUUCCCGGGCCUU